UACGUAGGGUGCGAGCGUUGUCCGGAAUUAUUGGGCGUAAAGAGCUUGUAGGCGGUUUGUCGCGUCUGCUGUGAAAAUCCGGGGCUCAACCCCGGACUUGCAGUGGGUACGGGCAGACUAGAGUGCGGUAGGGGAGACUGGAAUUCCUGGUGUAGCGGUGGAAUGCGCAGAUAUCAGGAGGAACACCGAUGGCGAAGGCAGGUCUCUGGGCCGCAACUGACGCUGAGGAGCGAAAGCAUGGGGAGCGAACAGG
rnacentral:rRNA from 1 species